CACCCCCAACCCCCCUACAGAUUUUCAGACAGUGGUGGUUUCACUGAAAGCCCAUAGUGCAGCAGUUAAAGCUGGUAAAAUGGUGUUUUACCUUCUUUAGUGACUCAUUUGACAAAUCUUGAGAGUAAGUUCACCUGAAUAUUUUCCAGCCAUUAGUUUUUGCUUCUCCUGUUUGAUUCAGUGUUGCUGACUAGAGUUCUGGAGGUCCUGCCGGCAUGUGGUGGUUUUAAUGAGCAGAAUUAUGUUUAAACUUGUCAAGCGAAAAGGACUUCCUGCAGCCGGUAGCUCUCCCUAAGAGGUGAUCUAGUCACAUUUCAGCAGACUUUGAUGUGGUUGCAUAACAAAGGAUUCUGUUAGGAGUUGAAUCAAAUCCAUUUCAGUCUUUGUUUGAGUCUUGGUAAACUUUUUUAGUCGUGACAAUUAGUUUUUUAUUUUUAUAGUAUCGUGACAGUAUUCCUGCAAUGAUGUUCAUUUAAAAUUGUUCUGGUAUCAACAGACUUUUUUUUGCAAAGCUAAAAACCAAGAUUUGGUUGUCCAUUAGUUCACAGCAUUUUGACUACUUCAGUGGCUAUUCCUGUAAAAAUGAUUAAAGUGGACACUCCUUUUUUUUUUUCAAUAAAUGUUCUGUGGUCUAGUUUUAACAAAUGGCUUGAGAUGUGAUGCCUUGUGGCACUCCUGUUUCAGGAAGUAGAAGUGAGGGUGGAAUGCAGCAGGAUUUAAAGUCCAGGGGCCUCAUUUAUCAAGCUUGCUUACGCACAAAACGGGGUCGGAAAACUGCGUAAGCAACUUUCCACGCAAACUUUGGGAUUAAUGAAAGAAAACUUAGCGGAAAAAUGUGCGCAACUUUAAGUUGACUUUGGCCUAGUCCACAUGUAGCCGUUUUUUUUUAUAAACGAAUAUCCGCCCCUCCAAAAACUUGCAUCCACACCACCUCGUUUAAAGAAAAAAACUGUCCACACGUACCCGGAUAAAUAUGUUGUUAAGGACAUGCCAGACCUGUAGGCGGCAGUACUUCCCCCGUUCUUAACCUCGUCCUUCGUCUGUGGUCUUCCGCAAGGAGCAGUAAUUCUGCUUGCAAAAACAAACAAGCAAAAAGCGCUUGGACAAUUGAUAAAGCGAGAGCAGCUCUGAGGGCAUCCAUGAUGUCGGCUAGUGUAAACACAGGUCGCACACGUGAUGUCAGCAUUUUUUGUCGCGGAAAGUGACGUUGCAGACCUUAAAACUCCGCUUUUGUCUGUCCACACGCAGACACCCAAAACGGAGAAAACGCCGAUCUUCACUUUGGCCGGAGUUUUUAAAAAGAUCAGUUUUCGUGUGAAAAAACUCUGUUUUCGUGUGGAUGACAGGCCAAAACACAGAAAAAUAUCUAUGUUUUGGCAGAUCCCCGGCUACAUGUAGACAGGGCCUAAGGACCUGGCUUAUGCACAUGUUGGACACGGAGAGCACCUGCAGUGCUGCUGCUGAGGUUAAAAUUAUGAAAUCCUGCAGCAUUAUCACUUGUACUGCUUCGUUUUCACACAGAACAAGACCCCCCACAUGCACACACACACACACACACACACACACACACACACACACACACACACACACAGCCUGAAGCGCAGAAUACGGAAUGCAGAAUAUCAGCAGGGGGACAGAUUGAGACAGAAUGGCAUGCGUCUGUGACAUAGACUGUACAUAUACUGGACAAACGGAUUCCAUUGGCUUCAAUAACACGUUUGUUGUCUAUAAUGGGAGGUGGCCACCACCGCCAUUUUGACCGUGUCACAGGUUCCGUCCAGCCCAGACAAUUCCAUAAAAGGGAAGAGAGGAGGCGCUGAGGGUGUGGCUGUAAGGCUGGGCUCGAGUGACGACACCCAGGCGAACUAGCUACGAGCUAACCUGAAGCUAACCCUGGCUAACCCAAAGCUAAAGCGGAGGUGGGAGCCGAGCUAACGGAUGUAGCCACCUAGCUUCAACCCAACCGGAGCUAACUGGAACACCCAUCGACCUGAACCUUACACGGAGUUUAGGUGGAGGUUUUCUGCGCCUGUUCGUGAGAAGUACCUGUAUUAAAAAAGUUUUAAAUCGAUCUGUUUAAAUGUCACCAUGGCAGCCUGUGUGUCUCCAACAUCAGCUACACAAAGCAGCAAGUGUAAGUUCCACAUACCUGUCUCACCACUUCAUGUAUGGUUUUGUACUUUAAACAAUUAUGACAAACCUGUUAUUUUUUCUCCAUAGCCAUUUGGAUCAUUGGAGACAGCUGAGUGAGGCGUGGUGCCCAGAGAGCUGCAGAGACAACCUUGGCCUCCCUGACGUCUGUGUCUCCUGGUUCGGUUGGGGUGGACCAUCGACAUACAUACAUGUGCCGACACUUUGCGCCCUGUUUUAUAAAAUGUAGUGUUAAAAAUAAAUGUUUUUGCUCAA